GGACGAACGCUGGCGGCGUGCCUAAUACAUGCAAGUCGAGCGGACAGAAGGGAGCUUGCUCCCGGAUGUUAGCGGCGGACGGGUGAGUAACACGUGGGUAACCUGCCUGUAAGACUGGGAUAACUCCGGGAAACCGGAGCUAAUACCGGAUAGUUCCUUGAACCGCAUGGUUCAAGGAUGAAAGACGGUUUCGGCUGUCACUUACAGAUGGACCCGCGGCGCAUUAGCUAGUUGGUGGGGUAAUGGCUCACCAAGGCGACGAUGCGUAGCCGACCUGAGAGGGUGAUCGGCCACACUGGGACUGAGACACGGCCCAGACUCCUACGGGAGGCAGCAGUAGGGAAUCUUCCGCAAUGGACGAAAGUCUGACGGAGCAACGCCGCGUGAGUGAUGAAGGUUUUCGGAUCGUAAAGCUCUGUUGUUAGGGAAGAACAAGUGCGAGAGUAACUGCUCGCACCUUGACGGUACCUAACC
rnacentral:rRNA from 1 species